GAUGAAGAACGCAGUGAAAUGCGAUACGUAAUGUGAAUUGCAAAUUCAGUGAAUCAUCGAGUCUUUGAACGCACAUUGCGCCCCCUGGUAUUCCGGGGGGCAUGCCUGUCCGAGCGUCAUUGCUGCCCUCAAGCACGGCUUGUGUGUUGGGCCCCGUCCUCCGAUCCCGGGGGACGGGCCCGAAAGGCAGCGGCGGCACCGCGUCCGGUCCUCGAGCGUAUGGGGCUUUGUCACCCGCUCUGUAGGCCCGGCCGGCGCUUGCCGAUCAACCCAAAUUUUUAUCCAGGUUGACCUCGGAUCAAGUAGGGAUACCCGCUGAACUUAAGCAUAUCAAUAAGCGGAGGA
rnacentral:misc_RNA from 1 species